UCUACGGGAGGCCGCAGUGAGGAAUAUUGGUCAAUGGACGAGAGUCUGAACCAGCCAAGUAGCGUGAAGGAUGACGGCCCUAUGGGUUGUAAACUUCUUUUAUAUGGGAAUAAAGUGUUCCACGUGUGGGCUUUUGUAUGUACCCUAUGAAUAAGGAUCGGCUAACUCCGUGCCAGCAGCCGCGGUAAUACGGAGGAUCCGGGCGUUAUCCGGAUUUAUUGGGUUUAAAGGGAGCGUAGGUGGAUUGUUAAGUCAGUUGUGAAAGUUUGCGGCUCAACCGUAAAAUUGCAGUUGAAACUGGCAGGCUUGAGUACAGUAGAGGCGGGCGGAAUUCGUGGUGUAGCGGUGAAAUGCUUAGAUAUCACGAAGAACCCCGAUUGCGAAGGCAGCUCACUGGACUGGAACUGACACUGAGGCUCGAAAGUGCGGGUAUCAAACAGGAUUAGAUACCCUAGUAGUC
rnacentral:rRNA from 1 species